rnacentral:rRNA from 1 species
GAUGAACGCUGGCGGCGUGCCUAAUACAUGCAAGUCGAGCGAACAGAUGAGGAGCUUGCUCCUCUGACGUUAGCGGCGGACGGGUGAGUAACACGUGGAUAACCUACCUAUAAGACUGGGAUAACUUCGGGAAACCGGAGCUAAUACCGGAUCAUAUAUUGAACCGCAUGGUUCAUUAGUGAAAGACGGUUUUGCUGUCACUUAUAGAUGGAUCCGCGCCGCAUUAGCUAGUUGGUAAGGUAACGGCUUACCAAGGCAACGAUGCGUAGCCGACCUGAGAGGGUGAUCGGCCACACUGGAACUGAGACACGGUCCAGACUCCUACGGGAGGCAGCAGUAGGGAAUCUUCCGCAAUGGGCGAAAGCCUGACGGAGCAACGCCGCGUGAGUGAUGAAGGUCUUCGGAUCGUAAAACUCUGUUAGUAGGGAAGAACAAAUGUGUAAGUAACUAUGCACGUCUUGACGGUACCUAAUCAGAAAGCCACGGCUAACUACGUG